rnacentral:rRNA from 1 species
GAUGAACGCUAGCGGCAGGCUUAACACAUGCAAGUCGAGGGGUAUAGUUCUUCGGAAUUAGAGACCGGCGCACGGGUGCGUAACGCGUAUGCAAUCUACCUUUCACAGAGGGAUAGCCCAGAGAAAUUUGGAUUAAUACCUCAUAGUAUAGCAGUUUCGCAUGAAACCACUAUUAAAGUCACAACGGUGAAAGAUGAGCAUGCGUCCCAUUAGCUAGUUGGUAAGGUAACGGCUUACCAAGGCAACGAUGGGUAGGGGUCCUGAGAGGGAGAUCCCCCACACUGGUACUGAGACACGGACCAGACUCCUACGGGAGGCAGCAGUGAGGAAUAUUGGACAAUGGGCGCAAGCCUGAUCCAGCCAUGCCGCGUGCAGGAUGACGGUCCUAUGGAUUGUAAACUGCUUUUAUACAGGAAGAAACACUACUUCGUGAAGUAGCUUGACGGUACUGUAAGAAUAAGGAUCGGCUAACUCCGUGCCAGCAGCCG